rnacentral:rRNA from 1 species
GACGAACGCUGGCGGCGUGCUUAACACAUGCAAGUCGAACGGUGAAGCGCCUUCCUUUUUGGUGGGUGUGGAUGAGUGGCGAACGGGUGAGUAACACGUGAGUAACCUGCCCCCUUCUUCUAGAUAACCGCAUGAAAGUGUGGCUAAUACGGGAUAUUCUGGGUCUGUCGCAUGAUGGGUCUGGGAAAGAUAUUGUUUCGGUGGGGGAUGGGCUCGCGGCCUAUCAGCUUGUUGGUGGGGUGAUGGCCUACCAAGGCGGUGACGGGUAGCCGGCCUGAGAGGGUGGACGGUCACACUGGGACUGAGACACGGCCCAGACUCCUACGGGAGGCAGCAGUGGGGAAUAUUGCACAAUGGGCGCAAGCCUGAUGCAGCGACGCCGCGUGAGGGAUGGAGGCCUUCGGGUUGUGAACCUCUUUCGCCAGUGAAGCAGGCCUGCCUCGUUUGUGGGUGGGUUGACGGUAGCUGGAUAAGAAGCGCCGGCUAACUACGUG